rnacentral:rRNA from 1 species
AGUGAACGCUGGCGGUAGGCCUAACACAUGCAAGUCGAACGGCAGCACAGGAGAGCUUGCUCUCUGGGUGGCGAGUGGCGGACGGGUGAGGAACACAUAGGACUCUACUUUUUCGUGGGGGAUAACGUAGGGAAACUUACGCUAAUACCGCAUACGCCCUACGGGUGAAAGAAGGGUACCUUCGGGCCUUGUGCUCUUGACUGUGCCGAUGUCGGAUUAGCUAGUUGGCGGGGUAAAGGCCCACGAAGGCGACGAUCCGUAGCUGGUCUGAGAGGAUGAUCAGCCACACUGGAACUGAGACACGGUCCAGACUCCUACGGGAGGCAGCAGUGGGGAAUAUUGGACAAUGGGCGCAAGCCUGAUCCAGCCAUACCGCGUGGGUGAAGAAGGCCUUCGGGUUGUAAAGCCCUUUUGUUGGGAAAGAAAUCCAGCUGGCUAAUACCCGGUUGGGAUGACGGUACCCAAAGGAUAAGCACCGGCUAACUUCGUGCCAGCCGCCGCGGUAA